AACGAACGCUGGCGGCAUGCCUAACACAUGCAAGUCGAACGAGACCUUCGGGUCUAGUGGCGCACGGGUGCGUAACGCGUGGGAACCUGCCCUUAGGUUCGGAAUAACUCCCCGAAAGGGGUGCUAAUACCGGAUAAUGCCUUCGGACCAAAGAUUUAUCGCCUUUGGAUGGGCCCGCGUUGGAUUAGCUAGUUGGUAGGGUAAAAGCCUACCAAGGCGACGAUCCAUAGCUGGUCUGAGAGGAUGAUCAGCCACACUGGGACUGAGACACGGCCCAGACUCCUACGGGAAGCAGCAGUGGGGAAUAUUGGACAAAGGGCGAAAGCCUGAUCCAGCAAUGCCGCGUGAGUGAUGAAGGCCUUAGGGUUGUAAAGCUCUUUUACCCGGGAUGAUAAUGACAGUACCGGGAGAAUAAGCUCCGGCUAACUCCGUG
rnacentral:rRNA from 1 species